rnacentral:rRNA from 1 species
GACGAACGCUGGCGGCGUGCUUAACACAUGCAAGUCGAACGGAAAGGCCCUGCUUUUUUGGGGUUCUCGAGUGGCGAACGGGUGAGUAACACGUGAGUAACCUGCCCUUGACUUUGGGAUAACUUCAGGAAACUGGGGCUAAUACCGUAUAGGAGCUCCUGCUGCAGUGUGGGGGGUGGAAAGUUGCGGCUGUUGGGGAUGGACUCGCGGCUUAUCAGCUUGUUGGUUGGGUAGUGGCUUACCAAGGCUUUGACGGGUAGCCGGCCUGAGAGGGUGACCGGCCACAUUGGGACUGAGAUACGGCCCAGACUCCUACGGGAGGCAGCAGUGGGGAAUAUUGCACAAUGGGAGGAAGCCUGAUGCAGCAACGCCGCGUGCGGGAUGACGGCCUUCGGGUUGUAAACCGCUUUCGCCUGUGACGAAGCGUGAGUGACGGUAAUGGGUAAAGAAGCACCGGCUAACUACGUG